rnacentral:misc_RNA from 1 species
UACGUAGGAAGCGAGCGUUGUCCGGAUUUACUGGGCGUAAAGGGCGUGUAGGCGGCUUGUUAAGUCUUGUGUGAAAUCUCCCGGCUCAACUGGGAGGGGCCACGGGAAACUGGCAGGCUUGAGGGCGGUAGAGGAAAGUGGAAUUCCCGGAGUAGUGGUGAAAUGCGUAGAUACCGGGAGGAACACCAGUGGCGAAGGCGGCUUUCUGGGCCGUUCCUGACGCUGAUGCGCGAAAGCUUGGGGAGCGAACCGG